GAUGAACGCUGGCGGCGUGCUUAACACAUGCAAGUCGAGCGGUAAGGCCCUUUCGGGGGUACGACGAGCGGCGAACGGGUAGAGUAACACGUGGGUGACCUGCCCUCCAGCUCUGGGAGUAAGCCUGGGAAACCGGGUCUAAUACCGGAUAUGACUCCAUGACGCAUGUUGUGGGGUGGAAAGCCUUGUGCGGCUGAGGAUGGGCCCGCGGCCUAUCAGCUUGUUGGUGGGGGUGAGGCCUACCAAGGCGACGACGGGUA
rnacentral:rRNA from 1 species